rnacentral:rRNA from 1 species
GCUACAGGCUUAACACAUGCAAGUCGAGGGGCAGCAUGGUCUUAGCUUGCUAAGGCUGAUGGCGACCGGCGCACGGGUGAGUAACACGUAUCCAACCUGCCGUCUACUCUUGGCCAGCCUUCUGAAAGGAAGAUUAAUCCAGGAUGGCAUCAUGAGUUCACAUGUCCGCAUGAUUAAAGGUAUUUUCCGGUAGACGAUGGGGAUGCGUUCCAUUAGAUAGUAGGCGGGGUAACGGCCCACCUAGUCAACGAUGGAUAGGGGUUCUGAGAGGAAGGUCCCCCACAUUGGAACUGAGACACGGUCCAAACUCCUACGGGAGGCAGCAGUGAGGAAUAUUGGUCAAUGGGCGAUGGCCUGAACCAGCCAAGUAGCGUGAAGGAUGACUGCCCUAUGGGUUGUAAACUUCUUUUAUAAAGGAAUAAAGUCGGGUAAGCAUACCCGUUUGCAUGUACUUUAUGAAUAAGGAUCGGCUAACUCCGUGCCAGCAGCCGCGGUAAUACGGAGGAUCCGAGCGUUAUCCGGAUUUAUUGGGUUUAAAGGGAGCGUAGAUGGAUGUUUAAGUCAGUUGUGAAAGUUUGCGGCUCAACCGUAAAAUUGCAGUUGAUACUGGAUGUCUUGAGUGCAGUUGAGGCAGGCGGAAUUCGUGGUGUAGCGGUGAAAUGCUUAGAUAUCACGAAGAACUCCGAUUGCGAAGGCAGCCUGCUAAGCUGCAACUGACAUUGAGGCUCGAAAGUGUGGGUAUCAAACAGGAUUAGAUACCCUGGUAGUCCACACGGUAAACGAUGAAUACUCGCUGUUUGCGAUAUACGGCAAGCGGCCAAGCGAAAGCGUUAAGUAUUCCACCUGGGGAGUACGCCGGCAACGGUGAAACUCAAAGGAAUUGACGGGGGCCCGCACAAGCGGAGGAACAUGUGGUUUAAUUCGAUGAUACGCGAGGAACCUUACCCGGGCUUAAAUUGCACUCGAAUGAUCCGGAAACGGUUCAGCUAGCAAUAGCGAGUGUGAAGGUGCUGCAUGGUUGUCGUCAGCUCGUGCCGUGAGGUGUCGGCUUAAGUGCCAUAACGAGCGCAACCCUUGUUGUCAGUUACUAACAGGUGAUGCUGAGGACUCUGACAAGACUGCCAUCGUAAGAUGUGAGGAAGGUGG